rnacentral:rRNA from 1 species
GACGAACGCUGGCGGCGUGCCUAAUACAUGCAAGUCGAGCGGACUGAAUGGGAGCUUGCUCUUGUUCGGUCAGCGGCGGACGGGUGAGUAACACGUGGGCAACCUGCCCGCAAGACCGGGAUAACUCCGGGAAACCGGAGCUAAUACCGGAUAACACCGAAGACCGCAUGGUCUUUGGUUGAAAGGCGGCGCAAGCUGCCACUUGCGGAUGGGCCCGCGGCGCAUUAGCUAGUUGGUGAGGUAACGGCUCACCAAGGCGACGAUGCGUAGCCGGCCUGAGAGGGUGACCGGCCACACUGGGACUGAGACACGGCCCAGACUCCUACGGGAGGCAGCAGUAGGGAAUCUUCCGCAAUGGGCGAAAGCCUGACGGAGCGACGCCGCGUGAGCGAAGAAGGCCUUCGGGUCGGAAAGCUCUGUUGUGAGGGACGAAGGAGCGCCGUUUGAAGAAGGCGGCGCGGUGACGGUACCUCACGAGGAAGCCCCGGCUAACUACGUG